rnacentral:lncRNA from 1 species
CUUGUUUCUUCAGCUUGAUGGGUUUAGUGAUAACCUGGAGAUUCUUGCCAAGUUCUUUUCCGUGCUCAUACCCACUCCAAUUAGGAUACUCUCAAUAUUGUUUUCCCACCAUUUAUCUUUAUCCACAGAAGCUUUGUAUUAAACAAGAGAGCUUUGUACACAAGUUUUGGAUUGCUUGAUUGUUUUCUUCUAUGUCUUCUCUUAGCUUUGUUGUGGUGUUAGUUCGGGGAAAGGCUGACUUAGCACAUCGCAGGGGUGAAUUGCGA